CGGCGUCCUCGCCGCCCCCUGCGCCACCCUCCUGACCACCUUCUUCCGCUCCCGCUGACCCCUCCUCUCCCACUCCCCCGGAUACCG
rnacentral:tRNA from 1 species